CCAGUAAAUCAUGCUUCUGGAAACCCAAUCGCGACACUGCAUUGAUCAAUGGCAAUCAGUUACGUCCAGCCAAUCAGAAUCGCUUCCCUCUUUCCCAAGUCUAGUUACUAGCCUACCCUAACUUCAAAUUUUUCAUUUGGGGGCGUACCUGUGUGUGUGUAGUUUGUCAAGACAUCCCGAAAAGCGAAAGUGGCGGUGUGGUACCAAAACAACAAGUGUGUCCGUGGCCUUUGUUGAGUGCUGGGGUUUGGGCUGCCAUGUGGGUGAGCCCUGGCCCAAUGACCAAGGUGUGCAGGGAGUAAUCCACUUCAUCCGCCAGAUGCGUUGCUGAUGCUGUUCUAAUGAACACAGUCCACGGCCGAGUUCCAGAUAAGAAACCUGACUGUCUUGGACCCAAAAAUCAGGCCCUUUUAUAUCCUCACAAUAGGCACAAAUGGCAAUGGCGGGAAAUUACGUGAUCAGCCCUGUUGACGUAAUCAUAGGGCAGAAGGAUGACGUCAUACUGAGCGUGGACAUGUCUCAGGGCUGUCACAUGAGUAGCAAUGAAAACCUAAAGCAUCAAACAAAUGCCUUAUUAAAGCUGCUCUAUGACAGGGUGCUUUCUAAUGCUGGUAAAAUCUGUUUUGUCUUAACUGUUUCACUGCUGUAUGCAGCACACGAUUCUAUCAGAUAUAUUUGUAUACUUCCACAUUUAGUGUUUUCGAAAGUGCACUGAGGGGACCAUUCCCUAACAGUGAAUAACAUCUGCAUACCUUCAACACUUGGGAUCAUUACGUAUUGUCACACUUCGUCCCAAUUGUCCACUGUUCAUUGGUGCCACUGUUUGCACAACCUAGUGUUUGGCUUAGUGAUGGCAAUAGAAACACCACCAGCCCUACACGUGGACAAGACCUUCCAGUACCUGGAGCUGCGAUUCUCCACCUCAGGUCGCUGGAUCUUCAACCCUCGAUGCCACCUGGAGGAGAAGUUGGAUGUCAUCUCCUGAGCUCCACUAAAGCCGCACCAGCGCCUCUGCACCCUCGUAAGUGUGCUUCUCCCUGGCCUGUACCAUAAGCUGGCCCUUAGCUGCAACCAUGUGGGUGCCCUGAAGUCAAUGUCCGGCACCAUCGGGGCCGCCUUCCGGCACCAUCGGGGCCGCCUUCCGGCACCAU